rnacentral:rRNA from 1 species
UCGGGAAUUUUGGGCAAUGGGCGAAAGCCUGACCCAGCAACGCCGCGUGAGUGACGAAGGCCUUAGGGUUGUAAAACUCUUUCGUCGGGGACGAUAAUGACGGUACCCGAAGAAGAAGCUCCGGCUAACUUCGUGCCAGCAGCCGCGGUAAUACGAAGGGAGCUAGCGUUGUUCGGAAUCACUGGGCGUAAAGCGCACGUAGGCGGAUAGUUAAGUCAGGGGUGAAAUCCUGGGGCUCAACCCCAGAACUGCCUUUGAUACUGGCUGUCUCGAGGUCGAGAGAGGUUGGUGGAAUUCCUAGUGUAGAGGUGAAAUUCGUAGAUAUUAGGAAGAACACCAGUGGCGAAGGCGGCCAACUGGCUCGAUACUGACGCUGAGGUGCGAAAGCGUGGGGAGCAAACAGGAUUAGAUACCCACGUAGUCCCUGAGCGGGCUGGCAAGGCGCAU